rnacentral:tRNA from 1 species
GCCCGGCUGGCUCAGUCAAUAGAACACGCGACUCUUGAUCUCGGGGUUGUGAGUUUGAGCCCCACGUUGGGCG